UUUGCCAAAAGGGUGUGGUUCCAGUGACUGGUGCUGCAGCCCUGCUCCCAGCCUCCUCCCUCUGAUUCCUUCCCAUUAGGGCAGGCAGACAGCACUGCAUGAGGAGCAGCCAAGGACUUAAGUUCCAAGGAAGGUCUGUGAGAGAGAACCCUAGCCCUGUCGUGAAGAAGCAGGUGCGCCCCUAUAAGGCCAGAACCUUCUGGGCACAGAGGGCUGGUGAGGAAGGGGUUAACUAAGAGGAAAUGCCCUGUUGGACUUGGUCCUGGCCACAGGGACUGGGACUCCCCCACCGUGUUUCAAGACGGACUCGAGGGGAACGCCUCAAGACUUAAGGUUGAGGAGGACCAGGUUAGAGUGCUUCUGGAGGGGUUGGACGUGUUCAAGUCAGCAGGUGCAGAUGCUCUCCACCCCAGGGUGUUGAGGGAGCUAGCAGGGGUUAUUGCUGGGCCCUUGGCAAGGCUUUACAAGCACUCGUGGUGCUCGGGUCAGGUGCCAUAUGAUUGGAAGAUAGCCAAUGUGGUCCUCAUCUUUAAGAAAGGGAGGAGGGAGGACCCGGGAAACUAUAGGCCCGUCAGUCUUCCUCAAUCCUGGGGAAACUGUUUGAGAAGAUCAUCAAGGAGCACAUCUGUGAUGGGCCAGCAUCGGGGAUGAUGCUCAGGGGCAACAAGCACGGUUUCAUUAGG